UACGAAGGGGGCUAGCGUUGCUCGGAAUUACUGGGCGUAAAGGGCGCGUAGGCGGAUAGUUUAGUCAGAGGUGAAAGCCCAGGGCUCAACCUUGGAAUUGCCUUUGAUACUGGCUAUCUUGAGUUCGGGAGAGGUGAGUGGAAUGCCGAGUGUAGAGGUGAAAUUCGUAGAUAUUCGGCGGAACACCAGUGGCGAAGGCGACUCACUGGCCCGAUACUGACGCUGAGGCACGAAAGCGUGGGGAGCGAACAGG
rnacentral:rRNA from 1 species